rnacentral:rRNA from 1 species
CAGUAGCCGCGGGAAAACGUAGGGUGCAAGCGUUAAUCGGAAUUACUGGGCGUAAAGCGUGCGCAGGCGGUGUUGUAAGACUGAUGUGAAAUCCCCGGGCUCAACCUGGGAACUGCAUUGGUGACUGCAACGCUGGAGUGCGGCAGAGGGGGAUGGAAUUCCGCGUGUAGCAGUGAAAUGCGUAGAUAUGCGGAGGAACACCGAUGGCGAAGGCAAUCCCCUGGGCCUGCACUGACGCUCAUGCACGAAAGCGUUGGGAGCAAACAGGAUUAGAUACCCGGGUAGUCCCUGUCUCUUAUAC